UUUAAAAUAAAAAAAAGGGAAGCCUAAGCUUUGGUAGUUUGCUGAGGUGAUUGUGUCAUUCAUAUUUUGAUUAUUACGUCUGGAAAUGUUAUACGGUCUUUUUUACUACCACAUAUGUUUAAUAAGAAAAUUCUUUGUAUUCUUCUUUAGUUACCGAAAGUGUUACCAACUAUUUUUUCAGGUUUGAUAAGUAAUUACCUUUAUGUUAUUCUAUAAUUUGUGUAACUCCGGAUUUCCUUCAUACAAGCCUUCAAAUUACUAAUCAAUAUAUUAUUUAAUUGUUUGAGAAUAUAUAAAUAGCAAUAUGUAGCUCUUUUUUUUUUCUAAUUUCAGCUAAAAUGCAAAAAGAGUUGGGCUAUUACCAGCAAAAGUAAUAGUCUCCAAUGACGAAAUAUUUAACACCCCCAAUGGCAAAGGACAGGAAAUCUGAUUGUUAAUUGUUGAUGUUCACUAUCUUCAAUUUGUUUAGAUUCCGAAUCUCUAUUAGAAUUGUCCCUCGUAGAGAAUUGAUGUUUCUAGCUUUGGUGACAUGAGAUUUUAUAUUCAAGCACCGUGAUUCAUUAGCUUUGAAAUAUUUAUUCUAAAAUAUAAAACAAAGUUACAUUAGAUUACGGACUUUGUGAUGCAUACCAAGGUCAAGGGAUACUUAUUAAUACACGCAACUUAUUAUGUCAAGCCAUGUGAGUCCUUGAAGACGGGGACAUAUGCUGGAUGGAAGACUGCCAGAUAAGCGAUUAUUUUGAAGGGCAAUACCUUUUUUUUUUUUUUUUGACACUGUGGAUAUCCGGAACCACCCGACUAAUCCCACAGCGUCCAGGCAGAGCGGGCCCGAUCGAUGCCUAGGACAUACACAAUUGGAUUGCGGACUGGAAUCGAACCCAGGUGAACUUGGAGUAAAGACCCCGCCUCCACCAUCCGAACAACCCAGCGCGGGCAGCGAGGAAAUAUUGAACAGCCCCAGUGGCAGAAACCCUGAAAGCUGAUUAUAGUCCAGGACAAUUCGCUUCAACUUUUUUAAUUUCCCAAUCUCCAUUGGAAUUGUCCCUUGCAAAGAUUUAAAUGACAGUUUAUAUACUCUUAAUGUCUCUAGCUUUGGUGACAUGAGAUUUUACAUUCAAGCACCCAGUAAUUAAUAGUAUAUCAAAUAGUUAGGAAGGUACCGUGUAAAUUGUUCCCAUCAAGAUAUAGUCGCUCGAGCGCCGUCAAGUUCCCAAAUCCUUCCGGUAUCACUCCAAUCAAAUUGUUCCAGCCAAGACUUAGUCCCUUGAGCGCCGUCAAGUUCCCAAAUCCUUCCGGUAUCACUCCACUAAAGUUGUUGUGAAACAACAACAGUACCUGAAGCUUCGAACACUCCGAUAACGAUGGUGGUAUCACACCACUUAAUUUGUUGCGGCCAAGGUCAAGCCAUGUGAGUCCUUGAAGACGGGAACAUAUGCUGGAUGGAAGACUGCCAGAUAAGCUAUUAU
rnacentral:lncRNA from 1 species